rnacentral:rRNA from 1 species
AUGGGAAGGUUCUCCAUUCUUUUCCGUCAAUGUUCUUAUCUGGUGAUUCUCAUGAAGAUUCUAACGGAGCUUCUAGUUUAUCAUUCUUCGUUCUCUUUUCUUCUCCGGUGGAUUCAAUUCAAACUUUGCCGAUCAUAUCUUUUUCCUUGUUUCAAAUGUUUUCUCAUGCCGGUGCACCUCUUAAUUGUUCACCUCUCUCUAUUCAUUUGUUCCAGAGAGAUGGAGUUUUCUCAGAAGAUUCAUUUCCAUUCUCAAUCCGUUCAAGCUAUUUUGAGGUUGUUAUCUCUUUCAAGCCAUUUAAAUCAACCGGUGCAAUAUCUUUCAAGUAAUCGUUCAACGAUGUUUAUCUUGAGUGGGCCCUAA